rnacentral:rRNA from 1 species
GGAGUAAUACUGCCCUUAUGAUCGGGAUAACAGUUGGAAACGGCUGCUAAUACCGGAUACGCUCAAAAUGAACCUUUUGAGGAAAGAUGGCCUCUGCUUGCAUGCUAUCACGUAAGGAUGAGUCCGCGUCCCAUUAGCUUGUUGGCGGGGUAACGGCCCACCAAGGCAACGAUGGGUAGCCGAUUUGAGAGGAUGAUCGGCCACACUGGAACUGAAACACGGUCCAGACUCCUACGGGAGGCAGCAGUGGGGAAUAUUGCGCAAUGGGCGAAAGCCUGACGCAGCGACGCCGCGUGAGGGAUGAAAGGUUUUCGGAUCGUAAACCUCUGUCAGAAGGGAAGAAACUACGUUGUGCUAAUCAGCAGCGUACUGACGGUACCUUCAAAGGAAGCACCGGCUAACUCCGUGCCAGCAGCAGC